rnacentral:rRNA from 1 species
GUUGUAAAGCACUUUCACCGAGGAGGAAAGGUUGUAGCUUAAUACAGCUAUAGCUGUGACGUUACUCGCAGAAGAAGCACCGGCUAACUCCGUGCCAGCAGCCGCGGUAAUAACGGAGGGUGCAAGCGUUAAUCGGAAUUACUGGGCGUAAAGCGCACGCAGGCGGCUUGUUAAGUUAGAUGUGAAAGCCCCGGGCUUAACCUGGGAAUUGCAUUUAAGACUGGCAAGCUAGAGUCUUGGAGAGGGGGGUGGAAUUUCCGGUGUAGCGGUGAAAUGCGUAGAGAUCGGAAGGAACAUCAAUGGCGAAGGCAACCCCCUGGCCAAAGACUAC